GCCGCCGCUGCCGCCGCCGAAGCGGAGACCGGAGCCGCGAGCGCCACCAGGGCAGCAGCCGCCGCAGCCGCCGCCGCUGGGCAGAGGAGCCGGAGACGCGAGCGGGCGAGGUGGCGGCGGCGGCGGAGCGGGAGCGGGUACCGGGCGCGGGCAGAGCGCGGCGGCGCGGGUGUGUUCCAGAGAACAAGCCUUCAGACAUAUUUGCUAUAUUGACGCUGAGCUGUCAGGGGACUCAGGCUUAUGAGGAGGUAUUGUUACACAAAACAGUGUCUAGUGAAGACGACAAGAAAGAGGGGAAAGGAUCGGAAAAAGAAGCUAAAAUACUAUAGAAAACCAUGAGAUCUAUUCGAUCUUUUGCUAAUGAUGAUCGCCAUGUUAUGGUGAAACAUUCAACAAUCUAUCCAUCUCCGGAGGAACUUGAAGCUGUUCAGAAUAUGGUAUCUACUGUUGAAUGUGCUCUUAAACAUGUCUCAGAUUGGUUGGAUGAAACAAAUAAAGGCACAAAAACAGAGGGUGAGACAGAAGUGAAGAAAGAUGAGGCCGGAGAAAACUAUUCCAAGGAUCAAGGUGGUCGGACAUUGUGUGGUGUAAUGAGGAUUGGCCUGGUUGCAAAAGGCUUGCUGAUUAAAGAUGAUAUGGACUUGGAGCUGGUUUUAAUGUGCAAAGACAAACCCACAGAGACCCUGUUAAAUACAGUCAAAGAUAAUCUUCCUAUUCAGAUUCAGAAACUCACAGAAGAGAAAUAUCAAGUGGAACAAUGUGUAAAUGAGGCAUCUAUUAUAAUUCGGAAUACAAAAGAGCCCACGCUAACCUUGAAGGUGAUACUUACCUCACCUCUAAUUAGGGACGAAUUGGAGAAGAAGGAUGGAGAAAAUGUUUCGAUGAAAGAUCCUCCGGACUUAUUGGACAGGCAGAAAUGCCUGAACGCCUUGGCGUCUCUUCGACAUGCCAAAUGGUUUCAGGCAAGGGCAAAUGGAUUAAAAUCAUGUGUAAUUGUCCUCCGCAUUCUGCGUGAUUUGUGCAACAGAGUCCCCACAUGGGCACCAUUGAAAGGAUGGCCACUAGAACUUAUAUGUGAAAAGUCUAUAGGUACUUGUAAUAGACCUUUGGGCGCUGGGGAGGCCUUGAGACGAGUAAUGGAGUGUUUGGCAUCUGGAAUACUACUUCCUGGGGGUCCUGGUCUUCAUGAUCCUUGUGAGCGAGACCCAACAGAUGCUCUGAGCUAUAUGACCAUCCAGCAAAAAGAAGAUAUUACCCACAGUGCACAGCAUGCACUCAGACUAUCAGCCUUUGGCCAGAUUUACAAAGUGCUGGAGAUGGACCCCCUUCCAUCUAGUAAGCCUUUUCAGAAGUAUUCCUGGUCAGUUACUGAUAAAGAAGGUGCUGGGUCUUCAGCUCUAAAGAGGCCAUUUGAAGAUGGAUUAGGGGAUGAUAAAGACCCCAACAAGAAGAUGAAACGAAACUUAAGGAAAAUUCUGGAUAGUAAAGCAAUAGACCUUAUGAAUGCACUAAUGAGGCUAAAUCAGAUCAGGCCUGGGCUUCAGUAUAAGCUCUUAUCUCAGUCUGGCCCCGUUCAUGCCCCAGUCUUCACAAUGUCUGUAGAUGUGGAUGGCACAACAUAUGAAGCCUCAGGACCAUCCAAGAAAACAGCAAAACUUCACGUAGCGGUGAAGGUAUUGCAGGCAAUGGGAUAUCCAACAGGCUUUGAUGCAGAUAUUGAGUGUAUGAGUUCCGAUGAAAAAUCAGAUAAUGAAAGUAAAAAUGAAACAGUGUCUUCAAACUCAAGCAAUAAUACUGGAAAUUCUACAACUGAAACCUCCAGUACCUUAGAGGUAAGAACUCAGGGCCCUAUCCUCACAGCAAGUGGCAAAAACCCUGUAAUGGAGCUCAAUGAAAAAAGAAGAGGUCUCAAGUAUGAACUCAUCUCAGAGACUGGUGGAAGCCAUGACAAGCGCUUUGUAAUGGAGGUAGAAGUAGAUGGACAGAAAUUCAGAGGCGCAGGUCCAAAUAAGAAAGUGGCAAAGGCGAGUGCAGCUUUAGCUGCCUUGGAGAAACUGUUUUCUGGACCCAAUGCGGCAAAUAAUAAGAAAAAGAAGAUUAUCCCUCAGGCAAAGGGUGUUGUGAAUACAGCUGUGUCUGCAGCAGUCCAAGCUGUUCGGGGCAGAGGAAGAGGAACUCUAACAAGGGGAGCUUUUGUUGGGGCGACAGCUGCUCCUGGCUACAUAGCUCCAGGCUAUGGAACACCAUAUGGUUACAGCACAGCUGCCCCUGCCUAUGGUUAAUACUUUUAAGCAGUUUUCAGCACGUUUAUCUCACUUUAUUCUCGUUCUCCUCGGACCUCCGUAGCCAUAUCACUUGUAUAAAAUAGGCUGAGAUAUAGUGACUGUAAGCUGUGAUCUCAGUAUACAAAGGAGUCUUGGAAAGGAGACGGGUGGUAAAUGGAUAACAACAGCAGAGCCAAGAAACUACUGCUGAGGUGGGUUUCAAUAUUGAUGUGUUUCUCUCUAGCCCUUAUUUACAGAGUACAGAGCUAGUACUUAGAAUGAGUCCCUUCCUUUCUUAAUAGCCUCUUCCCGAAAGACUGUUUUAAGUCAAGAAUUCCAGUUGAGUUGGUUGUAAGAAUAGAUAUCCUUUCCCACAUUAUCAUUUUAGGUAGGAACUAACAGAUUCCAUUGAUGCUUUGAAGCAGCGAUCUUUGGAGGUUUUUAAAAAUAGUACCAUCAUGCAAAUUAGGUUAUGUAAGCUUUACAGCACAGCUAGAAAUAGAGACUAGAAACCAUGCGGGAAUCUGGGCCAAAGAAUUUCUCUCCUUCCAGCACAUUCCCAUGGGGCUCAGGAAUUAGAUGAGUUAAUACACAUAAUAUGUUUUGAACAGUACCUGGUGCAGAGUACCUACUCAGUGAAUGUUGAGUGUUCUUACCGUGGUUUGGCGAGGUGAGGAUGAACGUGAGGAGGGCAAGGCUCUGCCAACAGGUGUUGGAGAGGCAGGUGCAUGGCCUGCUCAGGGUGGAGCUGUGUCAGUUCCUUGGUGCUGAUAGGCGUCAGCUGCUGCCAGGCUUUGGGAGAGGACUCCUGGUAUCUAGGGGUUAGACAAGAAACACACCCCAAAGACCUGGUGAGAGCUAGUGUGGUGGUGUUGCUGCAGAUCCAAGCUUAAGGAAGUUGCUCCUGUGUCUGUUACAGUAGUUAAAUUACCAGCCAAUCUGCUGCCAAGGGUUUGUAAAUACUUGGUUUUUUGGGGGGGGGGGGAUUUAAGGGUGCUUAGAACUUCAUAAGGGCUGAUCUUAGAAUAUCUACCUGCUGAGUCCAAGUGUCCAACCAGUGCAUUAAUAAUUUUUUAAAAAGGUGUUUGGUUACAACUGCCUCCGGAAUCUAACCUUCAGGGCUUAACAGUGUUUAGUAGGUAGAAAGCAAGUUCCUUUAAAGCACAGAAAGGAAAGGAGGAAACUGAUUGGUGUGCUUAAAAGGCUGUUGACUAGGGUGCUUCUCUGAAAAGCACUCCUGUAGCUUGUCUCUUCUAGUUUGUUUUGAUAAUUUUGAGGGGAAAAAUCUGCACUCGACACCAUAUGAGGCCUCCCUUCUGCCUAUUAGUCUUAGAGAAAACAUAUCUGCCCAUCUAUUCGUCUUUCUUUUUGUCUAUCCAUUUACUGUCUGGACACAGUUGGGAAGUUGCUGUUUUUCGAUAAGAGGAAAAUGGGUACAUGAUGAAAUUGAUGCUUUUGGAUUAAAUAGAGGGUGCACGUCUUAUCUUCCAUUCCUUUGUGUGUCUACAAAGACUUCAGGAGCCUCUGCAGAAAGGUGGUCAGAUGCAUCCUUGGCUGUUGGUAAGAGGUGAGCUAAGUGGGGAACAUAGAUUGGAGCCCUCAGAUGCUCCAAGUUUAUAAAAACUGUGUGUAGACAAGGACUGAGUGUUACCUUUAAGGAGGCAAAUAAGAUUUGCCUUGUAGUCAGGAGGUUUUUCUUAAAUCUAAGAAAUACUUGUUUAGCUAAUGUCCUGGCAAAAGUUGGUACAUUCCCCCCAGGGGAGGCUGUCUGGUGGAGUCUUUGCCUUGUUCAGCCAUCAUUGAGGGAGGACUUCUUUUUUGCCUCCUUCUGAGGAGGGUCUUGGUCUCUCUUGGCAGAACUUUGCCAUUUCUGCAGAUGAACUGUGCCAUCCUGCUGGUGGGCAGAGUGAAGAUAGCCACCGUUUGCCCAGGCAGUUUCAGCACUGGACAAAAGGUGUCUGCAUGCAGGUGUCUGCUAAAUGCCCCAAGUAAUGAGGUGAACAGCAGCCCUCAGUUUAGGUCAUUUGGGGCAGCAGUGGAUUGAAGGAGUAGGAAGGGAAGGGGAAGGAGAGAUGCCACCAUUUGUAUCUUGUGUGCCAGGCACUUGGACAUUCUUCUGAAUUCUCCAGCUACCUUUCUGGAAGUAGUAGUAUCCUUAGUUUACAAAAGAAACUGAUGCUCCAGGUUAAGUGCUAGAACCAUUAAUGGAACCUAGCUCUGUUCUAAAGCCUUUUUCUAUUCCAUCCUGCUAUGGAUUAAAAGGCUGGGGCCGACAGGAUGGGCUCUGCUGGUAGCUAGGCCCUCUGACUUGAGGUGACUCCAGAUCAGAUAAUCUGGCCUAAAAUAGGGCUCUUUUCAUUUAAAUUGGUUGUGAAGAACGAUUUAACAUACUGGAAGGACAGACUGAAGGGCUGCAUUGCAUCUGUAUCCACAGAGGAAGCAUUUUUAUCUAAAGCUUGUUUUUCUUUGAAUUUCAGUGAAAUCUGAGGUAUGUGUUUUCACUUAGCUUAUAUUUUCCGAGUGCAUGUUCUCUGCCUGGCCUGAGAUAGGUCAUGAGGGUGUCUUCAACAAUUUAAGCCAGACUCUGAAGGCAGGCUGGUGAGGCUUUGGCUCAUUGGGUACAAGGAAGAGGAGCACAGAGGGGCAGCAGCCCAGGUCUGAGGUAUAAGUGCAAGGGGGUGUCCCUGGACGAGUACUCAGUAGAGAUGGGUGGUGGCAGAUUGCAGAGGUCAGUGUUCAUUGCCAGGAGUUUCCCUUGGAGUAGGCCUCAGGGCAGACUGCCAGCCUGGAGUUUGCUGUCUUCCCUCCAAGUUGGACCCGUGUAUGGUUAAGCCCUGCUUGGAUGGCUUUGGGGUCUCUAAAUUGCUGCCUGUGAACCACCCUGCUGAGCAUGUUGGAUUCUUCUGCUGCUGUAACCACUUUACCAGCUCCUGGGCUAAUGAAUGACAGCUGGGUCUCUGCUCAGGCGUGGGUGGGUGCGGGGAUGGCUGCGGGAUCCUUUUCAGGACAAGGUAUUCCUCAUCCACCCCAAGUCAUCCUCUUUCUGGGCACUUGGCAAUGUUUCUGUGCACCCUGCCGUAAUCCUGGAGGGGAGCAGGAAAAAGGAACCUUUGAAUCCCAGGCUGUUGUGUUCUAGAGCAUGACUGUGUCAGGGAGAAUGAGCGCCUGGCAUUCAUAGAACACAGUCCUCUCUCAGGCCCUUUCCCGUUUGUCAUUUCAUGACUUGCUGUACUGGUGGCCCUUGGAGAAGCAGCAGUGCAUAGAUCGUUGUUCCCACCCUGCAGACAGGGAGAGUAGAGCCCAGAGAUCUCUCCAAACCACACUGCUUAUUUGUGGCAAAGCAUUGUGGCCCGUAAUGAGUUUUUAACCACCAGAAGAAAUAACAUUUCUUAAGACUGUUUUUAGAGGUAACAGCAGCCCUUUCUGAGGAAUUAGUUUUGAAUUUCACCACAACUGGAAUUAGAAAUUUUCUCCUUUUACAGAUGAGGAAAUAGAUGCUUAGAUAAGGUGACUUGCCCCAAAUUAUAGUGCGGUGAGUGGUGGCGCUCACCCCGUCUGAGGCUGUGCUGUGUGCAGGUGGUUUGCGUCGCUAGUAUGCACCAAUGUCCGUUCUGUCUUCCAAGCCCACUUGGCAGCAGUGGCUUCUCUCUCUGUGAUGUGUUCGGCUCACCUUUCCUGUAGGCUUCUGGGCUACCCCCUGUGCGCCUUGAAACCAAGCAAAAACCAACCCACAUCUCCCUGAUCCUUCCUCAGCCUCCUAAAAUCCAGACUUUCUGGGCUCGUUCUUUUUCUGGUUCCUUUGUUAGUGUGCUACUGGGCAAGGUGACCAACUGGUCAGCCCUGGGCCAGGCAGCCUGUUUUUUUGUUUUGUUUUCUUUUUUGCCAGCUACACAGUUGGGGUUAAUUUCUACAGACCAUCAUUUUAUACUGUAACUGAACCCUAUAAUAAAGUGCAAAUUCAGUAAUUGCUACUUGGAGAGCUCCUCAGGGGUGGGAAGGAGGACAGGGGAUGUGCUGUUGGAAGUAUGUGUUUUAUGUUCAGCCUCAUCCACACUUUGGUUUUUGGCCACAUCCUCCAUUCCUGGCUUGGCCUUCAAACAUGUGCUCUAACCCAUGGGAUCACCGUCAUGGUAACACAUUUUCCAGAGCAAUCUGGUGUUGGGAUCCCCUUGGAUUCUUCCAUCAUGAGACUUCUCGGAAGUCUCAGCUUUCUAAAAAUCCCUCAUUCCUGCAGAGGCUACGUUAAAGGAAUAUGGUAGCCAUCAUCUGGGAGGUAAAAAACCUAUGGAAAUUGGCACCUGGGGAACUCAGGAAAGCUGAAAGCACCUUGAAAUGAGAUGGAAGGACCAGAAGGUUAAGGCUGGUGAAGAGGAGACCUGGAGAGAAUGUGGGCACUCCUGCCAGGUAUUUUUAAGGGAUUAUAUUUAUUUGUUGUAUGUGGUUCCAAAGGGUGAAAGACAAUUAUGGGAAGCCAGUGGGGCAAUUUGAGCUAAAAUACACCUCCCGCGAUGACAGACGCAGCCUUGAGAGAGCAGCUGAGGUGCAACAUGAGCUCCCUGUAACCAGCAUGUUCAAGCAAGAAGCCGCUUGUGUGGACGGCAAAGAGGAAAUGCUGUGGAAUGUCAGUUUGGACGAACUCUGAUGUGACUGGUGAUGCUGCCAAGACCAUGUCUCCCUUCUUGGGCACGUAGAUUUAUUGAGAAAAACCAUUCACUGUCACCUACUGCUUCUUACCAGGCUCUGUGUUGGGGGAGAAGGAGCAGUUGGAGAAAAUGUCAGAAUCUGCAGCUUAGACAACUGAGUAGAAGGUGAAAUCAUUGACCCAGAUGGAGAGUACAGGGAGGAGAAGAAAGAGGCGCAGAGGAUUUGAACAGAAUGAGAGUCCUCCUCUGUGCAGGGAGAAUGGCUUCAGUGGGUCUCCCCCUCCCUGCUAGGGAUCCUCCUUGCCAGCCCUGGGCUGGGGGCUGGCAGGCCCAUUCCCAGGUCUCCCGCCGAGGGCAGGAGAGGAGCCAGGCCUCAGGAGAGAAGUGCUUACUGAGUAAUUUCCCAAGAGCGAUAGGCUUCCCACUGAGCCAGACGGGAUCCCCAGGAGGGGAGUCAGAGGCGGGCCUGGCAUGCAUGCACAGAGAGAGUGUGCCCACUUGGGGAGCGUGAAGGGCCUUGCUGUGGGACCCGAGAGGAUGAGCAGAGUCAAGUAGCAGGUGGGACACACAGUCUGCAGUCACUUCUUGAAAGGCCCUGGGUGGUGUGUCCUUCAGUGAUGACCAUUGUCCACGAUAGUGAGUUCCAGAGGGUCGAUGGGGACAGUUGGAUAGCCAAGGACCAGAGUCAGGAGGCAGGGCUGAUGAGCAAGAGGCUGUUGCCAUUGGCCAGGCGAGGCGUGAGGGAGGCUGAUGGAGCGCAGCAGCAGAGGGAUGGAGAGGCAGGAAUGGCAUCUCCUCACAGGCCAGGCUCCUCUGCCGGAUUGGGUAGGGACGGGAAGAUGAUGGCCCCCAACCCUGGGCCAAGGAACAAUAGCACCCAUCCGGGGGCGGGGGACCUGCUGGAGUACUUCUCCUGGACCACUGCUCAGUGGGCAAUAGAGGGAACAAUGGUGUUUCUGACCAGGAUGGGGGAAGGCAGGGGAAUGGAGGAAGAUACUGACAGGGUACAGAGGAGGUAGAAUGGAGUGAGGGCCAUCUCCACCGGGCUAGGAAAUGGGGCUUUGGUGGGCCACACUCCAUUGUGCUGGAGCACUCUGGCAUCUCCAUUGGCAGUGGGGAGGGGCUUGUGACCUAUCAGCAUCUUCACCCUUUCCAAGUUUCCGCCAGGCUGGGCUCUCCAGCCAGGAGUCACAGGUACCAGGUGGUUGUUCAUGCUGAGGCCUUUUGCUUGGCAAAAAGUUAAUCCAUUUGUGUUCAUUUUUAACCUAAGCAAGGGUUGGAGCUUGUUGGAUUCAGCAUCUGUGGAACACAGUCUGUAGCCCAUGGGAAGACGUGGACAUUCUUUCCCAAGUUCUUGAAGGAUGGAAAGGACCAUGAACUUGUGAGGUGACCGGAGGAUUGGUUUUGGGUGUCAGUUUUGUGUCUGUCCCAGUGCUGCCACUUUUGCUUUGAAAUGGACAGGGAGAGCUGAAGGCCAGCAUGGGUUUCUGCACCUGUUUCCUACAGCUCUGCUGGGGACUGUGGCUCAGGUGGCAGCUGUGGACACGGAUCCUGUCAGCCUUUGGGUGGCCAGAGUUCCAAGGCCAGGUGUCUCUUAGCUGCAAGCAGCCUUCACUGUUAAUCAACAGGCUACACAAAUCUCACCUCUAAAGAGGUGAAAUGUGAAAAUAUAUGGGAAGCACCGCCUUAGCCCUGUGUCCACAAAUCCUUUCUGUAAAGGGCCAGAUAGCAUUUCAGGCUUUAUGGACCAUGUGGUCUCUGCCACAACUGCUCAGCUCUGCCACUGUAGCACAAAAGCAGCCAGAGACAGUGCGUAAAUAGAUAGCAUGGCUGUGUUCUGAUGAAGCUUCACUUACAAAUACACAGGGCUGUAGUUUGCCAACCCCUGCAAAGUAGGGAGUAUUUUGCCAAAGUUCGCUGUAUUUCACCAACCCCUUAGACUAUAGAGAUGACUUACCCUUUGGCUUAAUCAUGACUGGAAACUUCCUUCCCAUCCACUGCCUGGACCCAUCCACUGCCUGGACCCAUCCACUGCCUGGAUCCAUCCACCUCCCCACAAAGGCUUCCUGAGCAUCUCCUCUGUGUGAGCACUGGCUCAAUGCACAGGACGAUGUAGUUCCUGCCCAUAUAGAACUUAGGUUUUGAGUGACACGUGGGACAUUGAAAGAGGAGAGCAGGUGGCUAAAGAGCAUCAUACAGAACAGGGCUCAGGGAAGUCCCAGGUGGUAGAAUCUCAGAGAGAAGGGCUGAGGGUGAAUCAGGAAAGCCCUGAAGGCAGGCAGCUCUGGAGUCAGGUUUAGACGAGGAGGCUGCAGUUCUCCAGGAAGGGAAACAGGACCAGAUAAUGGAUGAGAUUGUGUCAAACAAUGAGGAGGCCUGCAUAGUCACACAGGCACAUGGGGUCUGCUCGUAAAGGACCAGGAGGGCCAGGCUCAGGAGUGUGGACUGGAUUCUCUGGGCAGUAGGGAGCCAUUGGACAGCUGUGCUCAGGAGGGUCAUGUGAUCACAAAUGCUUAUUAGAAAUGUCACUGGCUAUGGAGGACCAUGUCUGUGGUUAUAAGUUAACGCCUUUCCGUUUAGUCUGGACUUCUUGGUCAAGGUACUUUUGGUAUUAGAGUGGGGAAGAGAGGCCCAGAGAGUUGGACAGGUUUUCUGACCACUGGCUUAUAGUCAGUGAGCACCCCACCUUUAUUUUGACAUGACAGAGCUUUACAGAAUCUUCCUUCUUCAGGCGUUUUCUUUCCUGCUAUCCUAAAGAUUCACGUACAAGGGCAGGAUAAAUGAAACAUUCUGUCUCCAAUCUAAGUUCGGCUUGGGGCCUCAGAAUAUGAAGGUAAAGGGGCGGGGACGGACUGACUGCCUCUUGCUUCAGAAUCAAGUCACAUGGCGGGAACGCUCUAUGGAGCAGAUUGCUUCCUUUGUACAUGCCCUAGGCCCGUGUUCAGCAGGCCUCAGAGAAGCAGAGGUGCUGGCCUCUCGUCUCCAGAGGCUGCCAGCUACUAAGGGAGGUGGAAGCGACUACCCCUGGGGGUGGACUGCUCUGGGCCCGGCCUGACGUCAGGCGUAGGGGACUGAGGUGAAUCAGACAUGGUGGCUGCAUUGAGGAAUGUUCAGUGUAGUUGGGGUGAUGAAAAAACCCACGGCUGUUUGUAGCGCUUUCUGCUGAGCAUGGUCUUUCCUCUCAGAGGGGUUUCUAGGCACAUUGAACGGAGCUGCCAUUCAGAGCAUCGGAGAGGUGCCAGGGACGUGAGCUGCUGCCAGUUUGACAUGAACAGAAGCUGGGAGUAGCUAGUGUUGCUGUGCGUUGAUAGGAGCACAGUGUCCGCUGUGAAGGGGCGGGUAGGGCUGGAGAAAGAUGGCCUAAUACAAGCGCCUCCACAGGUGCUGAUUCAGUGAAGCCCCAACAGCCCCGCGGGGUAGGUGAGGAUCGCAUGCAGCUCGGAGAAGAGAAGGCACUUGCCCCUCUGCCUGAGCUGGGAGGUGGUGGCCAGCUGCACACAGGGCUGUCCCAGGAUGCUGACGAGGCGGGACCAGCCACAGGCCGGCAGCGCUGCACUGUGACCCCCUUUCACAGGGCCCAGCCUUGUUUCUGGCCUUCCGGGACUGAGUCAGGAGGUGAGGGCUAUGUUGCUGCCCCAGCACAGUCGGGCCAGGUGUGGGGAAAGGCAGGAGGGAGGUGUGCUGUGCUCUGAGCAGCCUGGCAGGCCCUGGAGAGGCAGGAAGCCACUGCAAACUUCAGAAACUGGGUGCUGCUUCCUCUCAGUGAAGUUGUGUUUUGCUAAUCUCUGAUAAUCAGGUCAGGGAUACAGAAGGAAGAGUUGCCCCUGGGUGGCUGCUGUCUUUAGACUUGUCGGGCUCCCUCUGGUACAGAAGUGCCUCUCGGAUUUUGCUGCCUGGUCUUCUCUCUUAUGGACAUGGAGUGGCUCUCAGGCUCUUAUGGUACAGCUCUAAGAAGGAACACUUCUUGCAUUGUCUAGUGAAGUUUCUGGGUUUAUGGAAGGGAAACUGACAAACUGGAGCCGGCACAGAUGGACAUUGGGUAAAGAGAAUGCAGCCUGUCCCUGGCUGCAGUGCCAGGUGUGGCCUUUCAUGUGGCAGCAAGUCACGUGCUGUGGCUCCAGCUUCAUAGGAAGGCUCUUGUCUGUCAGGCAGUGGAGUUACUUACAGACAAGAGCCUUGCUCAGGCCAGCCCUGCCCCUGCCUACAGGCACAGGUGCUUUGCCAUCUGUCCCGUUUUCCUGCUUAGGGAACCAAGAUGGUCAGAAAGUUUCUUGACUCUAACCUAAAUAUUUCUGCCGCUUUUGCGAGUCAGACUCUUUUUCUUUUCAUUGUUCAUGGAAAUGGAUCAAGGAGUAGGAGUUUUAGAUAGCUAGGGAGGUGGUGAGAAGUUCCGUCUCCACCUGUAAUUUACAAGUCGUGUCUUAGGUUUCCAGCCUCUUUCCUCUGUUCUGGGUAUCUCGUGCUCUCCACCCUUUAGGGAUUUUGGUGUGGUGGGUCAGUGGCAAGACACUCGAUCCAGACACACGCAUUUCCGAGGCACUUCCAUGUCACUUACCAAGCCUCCUUGUGUGCGGAUAUCACUUCACUGGCUCCCUCAGGCUGCAGCCCUGACCCCCAAGGUAGUGAUGGCAGCUAGUGCAUGAGGUUUGACUUGGAAGUAGCCAGGCAAGCCCUGGUUGCAAAAAAUACCUCUUCUAUUCCGACAGCAGGCCAGAGGCCGCUGCCAUUAGACGCAUCCCUCUACUUACCCCCGAUCACUUUUCAUGGUCAGGCCGGCCUUGCACAAGCAGGUUCUGUUCACUCCGCACCCCCAUUUCUUAGAUGGGGUACUGAGCACUGCUUUUCCCUUAGCUCACUUCAUGUGGCAGCUUCUCAGGGAUGGGACCUACCAUGGCUGUGGGAGAUGCUUUGCUACUACUUACUACCUUUCCGAGGGAGGAGGGCUCAUUUUUAGAAACGUUACUGGGGAGCCAAAUUGUAGGCAUCCGACCAGAGGGCCUCGCUCUCUCCAUCUCCCAGGAACCAAGGGUAGCUCUGGCUCUCUGAGGAGCUGUCUCCAGCCUCCAGGUGGACGUCCUUUCCAGCAUACCAGGGCUUAUGGAGGCAAAAUGAAAGCUGGUCCACGUGGGAACUCCUUACUGUUGUCCUUUCCUUGGGCAGACACCAUAUACUUUUUAGCUCCUAGCAGUGUUUAUCCUGUUUUCCCCAAAGCAUCCUUGGACUCAGGCCUUUCAUCCUGGACCCAUCUGUCUGGCCUGUUGUGCUGAGCCUUUGGUCUAAGUGGUUGGUUGGUCCCAGCCACUUCUUCAAAAGAAGGUUUCCUGAGGUAACCAUAAAUUAGGGCAAUCGUACUUCCAGGAACAGUGAGGCCGAUGGGCCUGUUCCCAAGGGUACUUUGGCAGGGGGUGCUGGGGAAGGGGCUGGCCUAGGGCCAGGUUCAUCGUACCAUUAGCCCUACAGCCCCAUGCCUUUGUGUCCUGGUUUACCCGCCGUGUAGUGGUCCUGCAGGAGUGGAGCCUGUAGGACUUGCUUCUCACCGGCUCCAAGCAGAACUGUCUGGGAAGGUGGGAGGUGCAGCCAGUCUAGACCUGAAGCCCUCACACGAAGGACUAAGGUAGGCCUGCUCAGCCUUGGCCCUUCGUCAGCCCCAAGGGUGGGGGAGGCAGGAGGCGGCUGAGUGUAGUCAUGGAUAGAAACCUUUCCCUACCGCACGGUUACACACAUGGCAUUGGACUCCUGGCUGUAGCUCACUCGGGUCUACUGAAGACCAAGUUAGUUUUUAGAAAUCUAUUUAAAAUAUCUAUCAUGUAUCUAUUUACUGUGUUUUUCUGAAUACGCAAGUGUAAAUAGUAUAAUUUGCAGUGCAAAAUCCUUGGCAAUAACUUUGUGUAUUAUGUUUAAAAACACUGGAAACCGCGACCACCAUGGACUGCCCUUCCCCUCUGAGGCAAUUAUUACAUGUAGGACUCUGAACUUUAAACCUUCAGCGUGACUGAAGCAGCAGCCUGCACAUGUGGAUGGUCAUCAGUGCCUCGCCCAGAGAUGCCUGGCCUUCAUCCAAAGGGACCCUGCUGCCCCAAGUCCUCCAGGCAGCACCCGCACUGUGGCUCCUUCGCACUGAGUAUGUUGGACUCUGCCAUAGACUGACCCUCUUGUCUGGCUGCUGCAGUUUGUCUGUAAUGCCCUGACAUGUUGCAUUCUCCCCAUUUGGAUAAAUAAAAACAAAUGCUUCUGUCACACACA